rnacentral:rRNA from 1 species
UACGGGGGGGGCAAGCGUUGUUCGGAAUUACUGGGCGUAAAGGGCUCGUAGGCGGCCAACUAAGUCGGAUGUGAAAUCCCCAGGCUCAACUUGGGAACUGCAUCCGAUACUGGAUGGCUUGAAUUCGGGAGAGGGAUGCAGAAUUCCAGGUGUAGCGGUGAAAUGCGUAGAUAUCUGGAGGAAUACCGGUGGCGAAGGCGCUCUACUGGGCCAUAACUGACACUGAUGGACGAAAGCUAGGGGAGCGAAAGGG